rnacentral:lncRNA from 1 species
AACAGUAAUUUAGAAAACCUUUUGGUUUUUAUUAUCCUUGUUUUUGCUUAGCCAAUCUCCUCGUAAGCAUUUGGCUGCAGCAAUGUUACAAAAGUUUGCCCAAACACUGGAUUAGCAAAUGGAUUUUUAGAUUAAAAGAUAAUACGUUGCAAAUGCAUGGUUACCAAAUAUCUUUUGCCCCCAUAUUUAGAAAUAACAUACAGAAAUCAAAACAGACCUUGAUGAAAGCUCCUUUCUUGCUUUGGCACAGAAUCUAGUGUUAGAUUCAGAGAGAUUCUGAAUGGACUAAAUAGUGCACUGUAAGAGGUUUUACAAAGAGGAAGGAAAGAGGGAAAAAAACAAGCUUUUCUUCUAAUGCUGGUGGUUCCUGCUAGCUGCAGUGACUUUCUGCAGUUUUCCUGAUUUCUUUACAGAUUUUAUAGCUUAUAUUCAGUCAUCAAAUCUCUCUGCUUCUGCUCUGGUAUUCAGUAACAUAAAUGCCUUAGCCGUCAAGCCCUCAUGAUCUCAAUAAUUCUUGACAGAAGAAGCAUAUUCUGAAGGAUGGCAGCCUCCUGUCCACACUACUCCAUUUCACUGGUCAGGGCUCUGAGGCUCUGGGACACAGCCUUGACUGGGUCAACUGCCAUGCAGAAAUUAAUAUUUCAAAUAGACUGUCAGAUCUUUAUGCUCUGAAGGGUUCUCAGAGCCUGGUGGCUCAGCAGCGUAUGUCUGCCUACAGCACGCCAAUGCCAAGCAUCGACAGAGAGAGGUCACCAAGCAUGAAGCUGCUGAAGCAGGCAACACUGGAAAUCUUGGAUACCUCUCGAUAGAUCAAGAAAUCAUUUGGAAGGAGCCAUGAAAUUCCAACAUAAAAGAAUUAGCCUUGCAAAAACCUCUUCUAUUUUACCUCAUAUAUUGUUCAACUCAUAACACUGGGAUAUCUUAGCCUACAGUGAGAACUCAUUUUUAUCUAAUACACAUAAUUAGGCCAAAUCAAUGGAUUACAGAUUAAACAAGCAGGGAAUUUAACUAUGACUGGAAGAACAUUAUGGAUCAGAAGUCCUAAUAAUAUAUGGCCAUCAUUUUAAAAUGCUGGUUAUUUAUUGAAAAUUUUAUCUUGAAGUGGCCUGCAAGAAACUAGCAGCUUUUAAGUUCUUACUAAUUUACUUCACUUGACAACAAAUAUUUAUUUACAUUAAUUUCACAUUUGGUCACAUAUUGAAUGGUUACUGAGCCCUGAGUUUUGCUUGUUUUAAAAUAAAACUGUUAGGUCCUUUGCUUGUUGUUAAAUA